UAGAUACCCUGGUAGUCCUUACUAUAAACUAUGUAUACUUGGUGUAACUGGACUCAACCCUAGUUGUGCCGUAGCUAACGCGAUAAGUAUACCGCCUGGGGAGUACGCUCGCAAGGGUGAAACUCAAAAGAAUUGACGGGGACCCGCACAAGCAGUGGAGCAUGUGGUUUAAUUCGAUGCAACGCGAAGAACCUUACCCAGGCUUGACAUGCAGUAGACAGUCCAAGAAAUUGGAUCUUCCUUCGGGACU
rnacentral:rRNA from 1 species